rnacentral:rRNA from 1 species
CACGUAGGGUGCGAGCGUUGUCCGGAAUUAUUGGGCCUAAAGCAUCCGUAGCCGGUUCUACAAGUCUUCCGUUAAAUCCACCUGCUUAACAGAUGGGCUGCGGAAGAUACUAUAGAGCUAGGAGGCGGGAGAGGCAAGCGGUACUCGAUGGGUAGGGGUAAAAUCCGUUGAUCCAUUGAAGACCACCAGUGGCGAAGGCGGCUUGCCAGAACGCGCUCGACGGUGAGGGAUGAAAGCUGGGGGAGCAAACCGG